GCUGAAUUUAAGCAUAUUAAUAAGCGGAGGAAAAGAAACUAACUAGGAUGUCCUCAGUAACGGCGAGUGAAGCGGACAUUGCUCAAAUUUUAAAUCGGGGGAUCUUUCGAGAUUUCUUGAAUUGUAGUUUUUCGAUCGGUUAUCACGGGGGCAGUAUUUUGAGUACUGGGUAUAAGUUCUUUGGAAUGAGACAUCAUAGAGGGUGAGAAUCCCGUCCAUGACCCAAAUAUUGUUCCAAUACGUGUUAACCUUUUGACGAGUCGGGUUGUUUGGGAUUGCAGCCUAAAUUAGGUGGUAGAUCUCAUCUAAAGCUAAAUAUCUUGGGGAGACCGAUAGCGAAGAAGUACAGUGAUGGAAAGGUGAAAAGAACUUUGAAAAGAAGGUCAAAAAGUGCUUGAAACUGUUAAAAGGGAAACGGAUGGAGCCAGCCAUUACCCAAUGGGCA
rnacentral:rRNA from 1 species